GGAAAUGCGGCCGGUGGAACAAGUUUCAAACAGGAAAGUGCUUGUGGGGUGACCUCUGGGGUCAGCCACAGAGCUUACUGCAGAUUCCACCAAAAAAGUAAGAAGAUCCAAAAGGGCAAGGCGUAGGGUCUGUCGGGCGGGUGUGUCCCAGUUUAAACAAAGCUGCUUUGAUGUGCUUCCCAGCGGGCAGGCACAGGAAUGCAAGGCCCUGCUCUGUCUUGCAGCCAAGAGGGAGUUAUAAACAUCCAUCUGCAAGGGAAGAUCCAUCAGCUCCUAUCAACCACACAGGAAAGAUUUACAGGUGAUGUGUGGACUGACCAGC
rnacentral:lncRNA from 1 species